UACGGAGGGUGCAAGCAUUAAUCGGAUUUAUUGGGCGUAAAGGGCGCGUAGGCGGAUAGGAUAGUCAGAUGUGAAAUUUCGGAGCUCAACUUCGAAGCUGCAUUUGAAACUUCAGAACUAGAGUACAGUUAGGGUAAACGGAAUUCCACGUGUAGCGGUGAAAUGCGUAGAUAUGUGGAAGAACACCAGUGGUGAAGACGGUUUACUGGGCUGUAACUGACGCUGAGGCGCGAAAGCUAGGGGAGCAAACAGG
rnacentral:rRNA from 1 species